rnacentral:rRNA from 1 species
GGGGUGCUCGAUUCGAUCCAGCGCCAGGAAGGGAGGUAGAGGAACGACGGGGAAGGGGAUGGGCAGGAACUUCAUGCAUUGAAUCCAGUCGCCCCGGGCCGUGCCUACAUGAGCAGCGCCGCGGCUUGAUGCUUCCCCGCCCGACGAGGACGGCAAGCUAGGUGUUGACAAUGGCAGCCUCAGGCCAUCCGAUCUGUCACCGCCGCCGUUCUUUUGGUCGAGGCCGCCGUCGUCCACGUGCUCCUCGUCACCCCCACGGCUGGACGCUGGCGAGGCCAGCCUCCCCUCCAAGCGCGGGUACUUUCCCGCUCCUUUCCGUGCUCUCUCUCUUCCCCUGAUAUAUAUCUCUGUUGUACAGGGAAGCAAAUUUGUUCAAUUCUCAGUCUAGAUUUAAUGAAGAAAACUGCGGUUCAUACAACGCCAAUGGAUAUGGAUCCAUCUUGCUGCGCUGGAUAUGGAUCCAUCUUGCUGAUUUGGAAGAAAACUGCAGUUCAUACAAUGCUAAUUAUGGAUAUGGAUCCAUCUAAUACAGUUCUUCACAAAGCCCAAGAAUCGCAAGGGUUCAAUUGCUUUCGGGGUCAUACUUUUCCUGGUCCUUAUUGGCUGGCCUGUCUUCGGCAUGAUGGCAGAGUCGUAUGGCUUUGCCCUGCUAUUCUGGUUAUCCUCUAUUGUGCAUUAAUAUGAUCUUCUGAUGUCUGUUUUUCAGUGUGCAUUAAGAAAUGGUAGAAACUUUUGGGUAUUGUAUCUGACUGGUACUGAAUUUCCUCACAGCAGCUUCUGGCCCGCUGCUGUUGUUUACCUGCAAAAAAACCCCACCAUCGGUUGGAUUUUCCAGCACCCUUAUGUGAUAGCGUAUGGAUGACAACUUCCUCUCAUACCUCUUUUGGCCUAUUGAGGAACUGGACAUGAUUUAUAUAGCGAAGUUAAGUGUAUGGAUGACAACUUGCUCUCAUACAUGUUAUCUGUAUAUUUUAUAUACAUGGCUUUUGCGUUCUGUCAUGUGCGUUCCUGCUGCAGACUUUUGUAGGAAAUUCACCAUGGGAAUUUAAAUAAUGGUUCCCUGCCCAUUAGUUUACUUUCUUGCAUUUUAUAGGCCACACUUUUCCUAUUUUGUUAAAGAAGUGAACUCAUUCCUAAACUUCCACCGUAUAAACAUUAACACUGGGAUACUGUACCAACCCAGCAAUACUAAAAAACUAUGAAUUGUGUGUCAGUGUAAUACUAUAUCCCACUGAUGAUGCUUCUAUGUAACACGUUUAUCUAUUUGGUUGCAUGCCUUGAAGGAGUAGUAUAUUGAGCACCCUGAGAUAAUCAUCGAGAAGUUUGGCGGAAUUUUAAAUGAUUUAUUAAGCGACCUUUUAUGAUUGACCAUUGUACGAGAGCAAGUUUUAGUACUACUUGAGCGAGUUAGAAUGUAUAUAUUUUCAACUAAAACCAAUUUUUUCAAAAGGAAAAAUAAUUUCUGCAUGAUCAUCUCCAUGAAGAAUGCUUUAGACAGUACAAUAAUGAAAAUAAGCAUUUUUGGCCUUCGAAACAUAUACUGUUGUUGGGACAUCUAAUUGGACCUUUCUAUGUAGAAAAUGAGAAGUGUUAAGUGUACAGAAACCUGCACUUCAUAUUUCUUACAUGCGUGAUUAUCAUCCACGAUACUCUUUUAUAUUGCUUACUUGCAGACUGCCAAUAGAAAUAUUUAUGUUAGCAUGUCAGUUUGCUAACUUAAUACCUUCCAUCUUAUACAUUGAUAAUGCUUUGAAGACACCGACAAGAAUAACUAAAUUAAAUUGUGCCUGAACAUGUCAAUUGCAAUGACAGGUUCUCACCUUUCAACGAAGGAUCUCAUUUUAAAUCCUAAUUUUGGAUGUCUAGGUGGUUGGCUGAUGGAGAGUGUUGCACUGCUGCUUAUUUAAUGAUCAGUAGUGCAGCUCACGAUUUGAUUUAAUUAGCGUUUUCGUAGUGAAAAUAUGAAGACAAAUUUUCUAAACAACUUUAGGAUAUCUUCGAAAGAAUGUGCUAGAUUUUGGUCCUAUUAUAUUUUCUCAAUUCCUAUGUCAUCUCUCACAUGGCCAUGUGGUCUCCCCGGUUUUGUCUUUACGUUAUAUCUAUGUUGUACUACUGCUACCCCCGCGCUACAGAAAGUAUUUUUUAUAUCAGCUUUGCUCUCGUGUGUGCAAGGAUUCCAUUCAGGUAUGAAAAACACCACCCCUCAUGAAGUUACUUCUUUUCAGAGAGAGAAUGAUCAUUGGUUUUUAUAUGGAUUCAGUGCACAUAAAUAAUUAGCUCGCAUUUUAAGUUUGGAUUUAGAAUUAGCUUUCCAGUUCUGUACAUGUUUUCCUUGCUGAUGAUGGAUUUCUUCUUCUAAGAUGAAUUGGUAACUUUAGCACCAAAUAUGAAGUUAUUUGGACAAAGAAAAGCUUCCUUCCUCUUUGCUAUUUUCUCUCUUCAGUGUUGCUUUUUUUUAGAACACUCUUUAGCGUUGCUUUGAUGUUCCUUUGUCACUGUUUGAUAUUCUGCCUUGUGUGCCUCUGUCUUGGUUUACAGCUCCAUAUGGCUACCUAUGU